GGGACCUCAACCACAGGUUCCCCAGCAGAUGGAAAUUGAUUUCCUGGUUGGGGGCCAGCCUUACGUUGCAGUUGAUGGAGACUACAUCAGAGUUGCUGUGAUUCUGAAAGAGAAGCCACCUCACCCCACCCAAGUUCAAGUCUUCAGUAAAGUACACUACACUCCAAAGAUGCUCUGUGUGAGGCCCUCGUUUGGGGAAAUAAAAUGAAAACAGCUAAGAUUUUUAUUUGGUGACAGAAACCAAGACAAAAAGGGACAUCUCCUAGCCUCCCUUACAGCUGCAUCACACUGUUCUGGACAAUGAGAGGUGACUGGAAGUGAGAGGAACUGCCAAGAAGGUUCCUCAGUAGGAGGGGUCUGGUCUGCUCUUCUCCUCUUCCUUCUUCUUGGAAUAAGAACGUGAUGCCUGGAGCUGCAGCCACCUCGGACUAUGAGGUGAACUUGAGAGGCUGAUAACCACAUGUUGAGGAUGGUGGA